GCGUCUACUGUGGCAUCUGAAUCAGCCUUUAGCAUUGGUGGGAGAGUUGUUAGUGAUUAUAGGAGUAGGCUGAAAAGUGGUACAGUCGAGGGCUUGAUUUGCUUGCAGGACUGGCUACGAGCUGCUGACCCUUCACACAUGAACAAAAAAACCAGCAAUGAUGAUGAUGAUGAUGAAGAGUGUCAGAUUCUUGUGACAGUGCCAACUAAUCAUGAAGAACACGUUCCAGAACAAUGAAAGCGCUCGGACUUCGGAUGGAACGGAUCCAUCUUCUAAACACAUCGUAUGGCCUGCGAACGCAUUGGAACUUCAGAUUUCCUAAUGUCUUGUCCAUUGCCUAUUCAAGGAGAAACUGCUGUCAGUGAGAAGUGUCGGUUUAUUGGCAGUCUAUGAACGCUGGAGUACUUGUGUCAUUUUGUGGUCUACUGAUUUGGUCCAACACUUGCCAUGGCAAGUGAAUGUUGCAACUAUGUUAGUAGGUUUUUUUCUUAAUCAUGAAACCUUUCCGGUGUC